rnacentral:rRNA from 1 species
UACGUAGGGUGCGAGCGUUGUCCGGAAUUAUUGGGCGUAAAGGGCUCGUAGGCGGUCUGUUGCGUCAGGAGUGAAAACUCGGGGCUUAACCCUGAGCCUGCUUCCGAUACGGGCAGACUAGAGGUAUGCAGGGGAGAACGGAAUUCCUGGUGUAGCGGUGAAAUGCGCAGAUAUCAGGAGGAACACCGGUGGCGAAGGCGGUUCUCUAGUACGGUACUGACGCUGAGACGCGAAAGCGUGGGGAGCGAACAGG